rnacentral:pre_miRNA from 11 species
CGACAGGUUUGAUGGAAACCUGCUGCGGGUGUGUGCUUUGUGACAAUGAGAUUCGGUUCGAUAUCAUCCCCUUGUUGCAAACCUCACGCUUGCGGUAGGUUCCACAACUGCUGAGAGGU